CAUCACUCAGCUGCAUCUCGAGAAUCAGCAGAACAGCCAACUGGGGCAUUAAAAAAAAUCAAAAGAAAUCAAAAGAAAAGAAAAAGAAAGAAAGAAACAAAAGAAAUAGCACCCUUAAAGUCCCAAGUUGACUGAUGCUGAAUGGAUUCAGAGUCGUUACGACCGAGUGAAUCCGAUCGAAAAGAAGAGAUUAACUGCCAUGUGGCAGGGUCAGUUACAUCAGCAGAGAGUGAAGAAAGCAUUCGAUAAGAA
rnacentral:lncRNA from 1 species